rnacentral:rRNA from 1 species
UACGUAGGGGGCGAGCGUUGUCCGGAUUUAUUGGGCGUAAAGAGCUCGUAGGCGGUUUGGUAAGUCGGGUGUGAAAUCUCCACGCUCAACGUGGAGGGGCCACUCGAUACUGCCAUGACUAGAGUCCGGAAGAGGAGUGUGGAAUUCCCGGUGUAGCGGUGGAAUGCGCAGAUAUCGGGAGGAACACCCGUGGCGAAGGCGGCUCUCUGGGACGGUACUGACGCUGAGGCGCGAAAGCGUGGGGAGCAAACGGG